AAAAAAAAAAGCGCAUAGUUAAGGCUCAAGCUUUCUUUUUAAAAAUAUUUAAUUUUGACCUCAAAUCAGGUAGGACUACCCGCUGAACUUAAGCAUAUCAAUAAGCGGAGGAAAAGAAACCAACAGGGAUUGCCUCAGUAACGGCGAGUGAAGCGGCAAAAGCUCAAAUUUGAAAUCUGUCUGUAUUUUUUAUAGACCGAGUUGUAAUUUGAAGAUGGCAACUUUGGGAAUGGCCUUUAUCUAUGUUCCUUGGAACAGGACGUCACAGAGGGUGGGAAUCCCGUCUGAUGAGGAGAUCCAUUUCUUUGUAAAGUGCUUUCGAAGAGUCGAGUUGUUUGGGAAUGCAGCUCUAAGUGGGAGGUAAAUUCCUUCUAAAGCUAAAUAUUGGCGAGAGACCGAUAGCGAACAAGUACAGUGAUGGAAAGAUGAAAAGAACUUUGAAAAGAGAGUGAAAAAGUACGUGAAAUUGUUGAAAGGGAAGGAUAUUAGAUCAGACUUGGUGCUUGAUGAUAAUUGUUUUCUUGUAAGGCAAGUUUUUCUCUUGUACUGGGCCAGCAUCGAUUGGUGUGGUGGGAUAAUAACAAUUGAAUGUGGCUUUUCUUCGGAAAAGUGUUAUAGCUUUUGUUGAUACUGCCUGCGUCGAUCGAGGACUGCGUCAAUUUAUUGAUCUAGGAUGCUGGCGUAAUGAUCUAAUAUCGCCCGUCUUGAAAGCACGGACCAAGGGCGAAUUCCACAGUG
rnacentral:rRNA from 1 species